UUUCUUUCUUUAGUCGUGUCCGCACUCUCUACGUAAUAACACACCUGCGAAACCUCGUUUAAGUCCUUCGCACCCGUUUUGCAGUUAAGAAAAACCCGCCAACGAACAACGGAAUGGAUGUGGCACAUUGUAAUUUGGAGGGCAAUGCCGAUGCCGUAGAGUUUUGCCCGCACGAUUCAUACCGCCAUGUUCUGGCAGCUUCAACGUACACGCUGCAAGAGGGUGAACAACCGAUCCGAGCUGGAAGUAUAUCGCUGUUCAACGUUGGUGCUGACUUGGGUCGGCUUGAUUUGUUUCAGCGGAUUGAAACGGCAGGGAUUUUCGAUAUAAAGUGGAACCCAGUUGGAGACAGCGUGAGUCCUCUUCUUGCUCAAGCCGACGCUGAUGGUUACUUGAGAAUUCACGGUCUUGAAUCCUGCUCAGAUGAAGCACAAGGGUUAUCUUUGAGGGAGAUAACUGAUGAAAAUAUCAGUUCAUCCAUGUGCCUUUUCCUGGAUUGGAACCCUUCAGCCACUUCUAUCACCGUGGGGCUUUCGAAUGGUUCUGUCGCUAUAGCUUCAAUUGGGGAAUCCCAACUUGAGACACAAGAAACAUGGAAAGCGCAUGAUUUUGAGGUUUGGACAGCUUCGUAUGAUAUCCACCAGCCCCAGUUGGUGUAUAGUGGUUCAGAUGACUGCAAAUUCAAAUGCUGGGAUUUGCGAGACGGUCCUUCGAAGUUGGCAUUUCAGAACACCAAAGCCCAUACAAUGGGAGUUUGCUGCAUAGCCAAAAAUCCCUACGAUUCGAAUUGUGUAGUUACUGGCAGCUAUGAUGAGUACCUGAGGUUUUGGGAUGUAAGAUCAAUAUCAACACCAGUUAAUGAAACCUCUGUUUGCUUAGGGGGAGGAGUGUGGAGAAUCAAGUUCCAUCCUUUUGUGGCCGGUCUCGUCUUGACAGCUUGUAUGCACAACGGAUUUUCGAUAGUCAAGAUUAAUGAGGAUAAAACUGAAGUGAUUGAAACGUACAGCAAGCACGAGUCACUUGCAUAUGGAGCUGACUGGCACAGAGACAAAUCGUUCCAUGAAGGCAAAAGGAAUAGCACUUUAGUUGCUACUUGCUCAUUUUAUGACCGUCUUCUUCGUUUAUGGAUGCCGGAAAGUGAUUUGCAGGAUUCUGUGCUUUGAGUACAUCAUUUUAGUUGAGCUGGGAACGAUCCAAUGGCGUCAAUUUGACAGAUUCUGCAUUCGCACAUUAUUAGGGAACUCUACAGCUACAACAAGCCAAGUGAAGGAAAGAUUUUAGGUAAAUGUGAAGGUCAUGUUUGUGUACAAAAAAAAAGACAAUAUUCUUUUGUUUUGUCUCCUUUUAUUGUUUGUCGCGUUGGUUUAUUACACUGCAAUGACCGAGGUAUACCAUACACCAAAUCCUUAUCCCAUCUAACGAUCAAAAACCCUAGAGUAUAAGAUACUUCGAAGCAUAAUAGACCCCCAUUCCAAUAAUUAAAAAUUUAACGGCAAAAAAUCU